rnacentral:rRNA from 1 species
AUUGAACGCUGGCGGAAUGCUUUACACAUGCAAGUCGAACGGACUUAAAGGGCUUGCUCUUUAAGUUAGUGGCGAACGGGUGAGUAAUAUAUCGGAACGUAUCCAAUAAUGGGGGAUAACUAAUCGAAAGGUUGGCUAAUACCGCAUACGUCCUACGGGAGAAAGCUAGGGACCUUCGGGCCUGGCGUUAAUGGAGCGGCCGGUAUCUGAUUAGCUAGUUGGUGGGGUAAAGGCUCACCAAGGCGACGAUCAGUAGGUGGUCUGAGAGGACGACCAGCCACACUGGAACUGAGACACGGUCCAGACUCCUACGGGAGGCAGCAGUGGGGAAUUUUGGACAAUGGGCGAAAGCCUGAUCCAGCCAUUCCGCGUGAGUGAAGAAGGCCUUCGGGUUGUAAAGCUCUUUCGCAAGGGAAGAACACUUAAUCUCUAACAUAGAUUGAGGUUGACGGUACCUUGAUAAGAAGCACCGGCUAACUACGUGCCAGCAGCCGCGGUAA